rnacentral:rRNA from 1 species
CCUCUAAGACGAGGAUAACGACUGGAAACGGUCGCUAAAACUGGAUAGGAUCAUUUGAGGCAUCUCGAAUGAUUUAAAGGGGCUUUCAAGCCACACUUAGAGAAAGGCCUGCGGCGCAUUAGCUAGUUGGUGGGGUAGAGGCCUACCAAGGCGAUGAUGCGUAGCCGGACUGAGAGGCGAACGGCCACAUUGGGACUGAGACACGGCCCAAACUCCUACGGGAGGCAGCAGUAGGGAAUUUUCGGCAAUGGGGGAAACCCUGACCGAGCAACGCCGCGUGAAUGAAGAACCGUAUUUCGGUAUGUAAAGUUCUUUUAUUAAGGAAGAAUAUCACGGAUAGGAAAUGAUCUGUGAGUGACGGUACUUAAUGAAUAAGCCCCGGCUAACUAUGUGCCAGCCGCAGC